rnacentral:rRNA from 1 species
AACGAACGCUGGCGGCAGGCCUAACACAUGCAAGUCGAACGCUCCGCAAGGGGAGUGGCGCACGGGUGAGUAACACGUGGGGACCUACCUUCUGGUACGGAACAACCAAGGGAAACUUUGGCUAAGACCGUAUACGACCUCCGGGUGAAAGAUUGAUCGCCGGAAGAGGGGCCCGCGUCCGAUUAGGUAGUUGGUGAGGUAACGGCUCACCAAGCCUUCGAUCGGUAGCUGGUCUGAGAGGAUGACCAGCCACACUGGGACUGAGACACGGCCCAGACUCCUACGGGAGGCAGCAGUGGGGAAUAUUGGACAAUGGGCGCAAGCCUGAUCCAGCCAUGCCGCGUGAGUGAUGAAGGCC